ensembl:lncRNA
CACAGCAGAAAAUAAAUAAAAUCAAAGACUAGCGGUCCUGUUGCUCUAUUUUCACCUGUAAAGCAGGACUGGGGUAGGCGGAGGUUUACCCUGGUGCAGGUGUGCUGCAGCGGUCAGUGGAAGAAUCCGCGAGUUUCUCUGUGAAUUUCACAUUACGUCGUAGUACACUCGGUGCUUGCUUGGAAGUUUAGGGGUUUUUUCGCUGUAAAAAGAAGUUUUCUUCCCACGCAUAACGGACACUAAUGUUUUUGUCACUUUUUAUGGAAUCAAACUCAAAAUAAGAGCUGAAGAAGGACACUACAAACACCGGAUAUGAAAGGUUUCCUUGCAGACAUGAGACAAGAUAAAAGAGGAGAGGCCAGGGGCAGGCAGCGCUGCUACUCCUCUUUGCUGCUCCUCUUCCUCUCUUGUUAUAUAAGGUGCAUUCAGUCAUGCUAGAAAAGCUGGUGUGUUGGAGCAAACAAUGAUGGAUCCACUGUUUGGACAACAUGAGCAACGAGCAGCUGAAAGCAGAGAUACCUGGAGGAGAAGAUGAUCUGCAGGAUCCUGCUGCUCAUCAUCCUCACCUCAUGUGUCUCUGCAUCAUUUGUAGUCAAUGUGACACAGACCUGCUAUCAGGCAGAGGAGAACCACAACAUCACACUGGAGUGGACGUUCACCACCAAACCUGACAGAUCCACCAAAACUCUUUUUAUCUGCUGUUUCCUGAUAGCUGAUCAACUCUCAGACCUGUAUCAGGUUCAUGAAGGUGUUGAGGUGUCAGAGUCUCAGCAUGAAAAGUUUUCAGGACGAGUCCAGAGUGACAAAGACGCCCUCAGAGAAGGACGAAUCAGACUUCAACUGUCCAGACUCAGGAGUAAUGACUCGGGUCUGUACAGAUGUGAAGUGCAGACAAAUCAUGGCAGCAGCUUUCAAGAUUGUAAACUCAGCAUCACUGCAGCUGCUGAUGAGCCCAAACAUCAAACUCCAACAGUGAACCCACAGACAGAGAGUCGAGGAAGGAUCGGCCUCUAUGCUGCACUCACACUGACAGCAGCUGCUGCAGCUCUGCUCAUCACACUGAGUUUAAAAAUCAAAGUCCUGAGACUUUAACUCUGGAUGCUCAUAGUUACAAUGUGCAGUUUUCUACUUUUCCUAAUGUUACUGUUUAUAAAGUGAACAUAUUGUAAAUAAAUCUUUAUUUAUAUGAUAGAAGUUUUGACUCUUCUGUGUGUGUAUCUGUCAUGUUUUAACCUGUUUGUCUUAAUGUAUAGCACUUUGGUGUACCUUUGGUUUUAAAUGUGCUAUAUAAAUAAAGCUGUAUUGUAUUGUAUGAGUGUUUUUAUCACAGAGCCAGAAAAUCUAUGAGAGUAACACAAAGUAUAAUCUAAUAAAUAAUAUUGAUACUAUGACUCCACAAGGCUCAUCAAAGGCAGCACGAGAGUUUAACCAUCAUUUAAAAUGAAUCAAACACUUCAAUCUAAAAACUCAGAACAAACUGAAGUGAAGAUUAAAAUGAUCUUAUGUUCCUCAAAACCAAAUGAAGAAUUUUUCUGAUAAAACAUUCAAAG